AUGGCGACAAUCAUCAUGAGAGUCGACCUUGACUGCGACCGAUGCUACAAGAAGAUCAGAAAGGUCCUCUGCAAGCUCCAAGACAGAGAAAACAUCAAGAUGAUCUCGUACGACGAGAAGAGCAACACGGUGACUGUGUCCGGCUCCUUCGACGCCGAGGAGGUCGCCGACAGGCUCUGCUCCGAUGCUGGCAAGGUGAUCACCGACGUACAAGUCGCCAGGGGGAACCAGAUGAACCCCAGUGCCAAGGUGGCGCCCAAGCAGCACGGCAAGGAGGGCCACGGCCCCGGCCCCGGCCCCCAAGCGCACGGUCACGGCCACGGCGCUGGGCCCCAAGCGCACAGUUACGGCGGCAAGCCGGAGAAGACCAAGCACGUCAAGUUCGGCAUGGAUGACGACGAACGAAUCGAUCGGCACGGCCCCGGACCGCAAGUGCACGGUCACGGCGGCAAGCCGGACAAGACCAAGCACGUCCAGUUCGGCAUGGAGGACGACGAACGAAUCGAUCGGCGCGGUCACCACGACCAAGGCCACGGACAAGGACAUGGACAUGGACACGGCAAUGGCCACGGCGGAAAGCCGAAGGUGGUAACUACCACGGCGAUGUCACGGAAUGAGGCCCCGCGCGGCCAGCAGCCGGCGUCCAUGGCGGCCAUGGCGCCGAUGCGGAUGCCGACGCCGGCGCCUAGCAUGACGAUGAUGCCGCAGGCGAUGGCCACGCCGUCCAUCUGGCCGGCCGCCCCUGGGUGGGGGUACAGCGCACCCGCAUACGGGUACGGGCACGCCGGAGGGGCACCUGCCGGCGGGUACUACGGCGGGCCCGUGUACGACCACGGCGCGUACGGGGCGUACGUCGGAGGGUACGGCAGGAAUCCGUACCAGCCGCAGUGCUACGAGGAGGAGCCUAGCGCUGGGUGCAUCGUCAUGUGA
rnacentral:rRNA from 1 species